GCCACACACCUCACAAGUGUAACCUGAUACUCCACUGGGUCCCUGGGAAAGAAAUAACUAGGACAUUCUGUAAAGAUGUUAUAUUUAUUUGCUCAAAACUAUUGUAUCUAUUGCCUGUGGUGUAGAUGUUUGUGUCUGCGUGUUUUGGGGGGGAUUCCAUCAAGUGUAACCAGUCACUCAGCACUUUUCGAGGAUAACAACUUCUUAUCUUAAGACGGGCAGGUGAGAGGAGAUGUCCAAACACAUGAUCUUCCCAAGCAUGGUGGCUUUGCAAGGAGGGCAGUAACUACUCAGCUGGACUUUAAUCACAUCAUGAAUCCCAUCUUCCUGUAAAGAAACUCAAAUCCAAGGGUGAAGAGGAAUUAGACGGUUUAGAUUACAUGGAAGAAGCCAGAAGGUGCCAAUCCUUUUGGAUCUGACUGUACAUGUGCAUAUGCAUCUAACAAAGACGCACAGAUGUAUUUCAGAUUUCAGCAAGAAUGAAACAAUAAGUCUUUCAAAACAGACAUGAAUUUAUUGUUUUGACAUUUAAAAUCUGCACAU